GCAGCAGCAACUGGUUCCCUCCUCCUACUUCAUGCUCGCUCCGACGGGAGAUCCCGCACGCUUCCGCUAUCUCCUCGGCCCUCCUCCGCCGUCGUUUUCCGCCCUCGUCCGCCGCCGGCGAGGCUCGAGCACCUCUCCGGCCUCGGGGAGCCCGUAUCCGUGGCGGCGCUCUCGACGCGCCGUGGCUUCGCUUGGACUAGCUCGGUCCCGAGCUGGCGGCUCCGGUCUCCGGCUCCGCGAAGCCGACAAUGGCGGUCAAAAUCGUUUCUUUCUGUGGAAGGGGUCGCCGCCUUUGAGACCCGAUUGGCGAGAACGCUGGGAGAGGAGAGGCGAGAUGGAAGGAGUCGAGCUUGUGUGUUGCAAUCUUUCCUGCUGUUGAUUUGCUUAGUACAAAUGAACGGGAGGGUUAAUUAGUGGAGUGUGAACCGGACUUUGUGUUUUUGCUUAUGCUUUGUUGAGAAAUGAAGAAAUGGUCAGGGGGCAUGUUGAUUGUAGCUCUUGCUACCAUCUUGAUAGUCCGUUACAGCCUGGUGGGAAACAAGGUGAUCAAGCGGCAGAAGCAGUCUGCGUAUGAUUUCUUUAGAAACCACCAUCCUAGCGAUAAAUCUCGAGUGAAAGACAAUGGUUCUCUGCCACCCUUUCAGAAUAAGGUGACAGCGCUUAAAAAUAGACCAUCGGAGAAGCCCACUCUUGUUAAUUUUAAAGGACUAGAUGACCUAUAUGGCUUCAGAAAUAUUUCAGUCGAAAAGCAUAAAUACCUUCUUGCGUGGGGUCAGAUGCGGAAGCUGCUUUCCAGGUCAGAUGCACUUCCAGAAACAGCUAAAGGAAUAUAUGAGGCCUCCGUCGCGUGGAAGGAUUUCUCUGCUAUUCUGCAUAACAAAGAAGCCUCCCAGGCUAGUAUUGUCAACAUCAGUGAAGAUAGAAAUUGCCCACCAUUUGUGAGUAGAUUUAGGAAGACGAAUUCAAGCAAUGUAACUUUCCUUGAGCUGCCGUGUGGGCUAAUUGAGGAUUCCUCAGUUACACUGGUUGCCAUUCCUCAUGGUGGCCAGGGAAGCUUUCAUAUUGAUCUAAUAGGAUCACGAAUUUCUCGAGAGGCUGAUGCGCCUAUUGUCUUGCAUUAUAAUGUGAGUUUGCCUGGAGAGAAUAUGACAGAGGAACCAUUUGUCGUGCAAAAUACCUGGACUGAUGAAUUUGGAUGGGGUAAAGAGGAGAGAUGUCCUGCUCAUGGAUCUGUUAACAGCUUGAAAGCAGGUUUUAUGCUGGAUGGACUUGCUCUUUGCAAUGAACAAUUGAUUAGAGGUACUGUGGCAGAAAGUUCAAAUGCAAGAAGCAGUGAAAGUUUGACCAAUGUAUCUAGAAGUGUACAUGCAAGUGCCAAUUUUCCAUUUGCAGAAGGGAGUUUAUUCACUGCCACGCUAUGGGUUGGUCUGGAGGGUUUCCAUAUGACAGUUAAUGGAAGGCAUGAAACAUCAUUUGCUUUCAGGGAGAAACUUGAACCAUGGUCAGUUAAUCGUGUUGAAGUGGUUGGUGAUUUGGAUGUGUUAUCAACUAUAGCUGAAGGUUUGCCUGUAUCUGAGGAUCAUGAGUUGGUUGUUGAUGCUGAGCAUCUCAAAGCUCCAUUAAUUACCCGGAAAAGACUUGUGAUGUUGAUUGGAGUUUUCUCAAGUGGGAAUAAUUUUGAGAGACGAAUGGCUAUAAGGAGGUCUUGGAUGCAAUAUGAAGCCAUACGUUCUGGGGAAGUAGCUGUUCGAUUUUUCAUUGGUCUUCACCAAACCAUGCAAGUAAAUGUUGAGCUGUGGAAAGAAGCUCAAGCAUACGAGGACAUCCAAUUCAUGCCUUUUGUAGAUUAUUACAGCCUUAUCAGUUACAAGACAGUUGCAAUCUGUAUUAUGGGGACGAAAAUCGUCCCUGCCAAGUACAUCAUGAAAGCAGAUGAUGACGCUUUUGUGAGGAUCGAUGAGGUACUGUCAAUUCUCAAGGGAAAACCAUCUAAUGGUCUCUUAUACGGUCUCAUAUCUUCUGACUCAUCUCCCCAUAGAGAAAAGGACAGCAAAUGGUAUGUCAGUGAGAAGGAGUGGCCACAUGAUAAGUAUCCUCCAUGGGCUCACGGUCCAGGUUAUAUAAUCUCUCAAGACAUUGCAAAGUUUAUUGUUCAGGGCCACCAAGAAGGAGAUCUUAAGUGGUUUAAGCUAGAAGAUGUUGCGAUGGGCAUAUGGAUAGAGCACUUCAAGAACAGCGGCAAGGAAGUGCACUACAUAAGUGACGACAGAUUCUAUAAUGCUGGAUGUGACUCUGAAUACAUUCUUGCCCAUUAUCAAGGCCCUAGGAAGCUGUUGUGCCUCUGGGAGAAGCUGCAGAAAGAGCACCAGCCCAACUGUUGUGAAUGAAAGUUCAUCUCGCAUGUAAAAAGUGCCCUCAAUCUUGUAUGAAAGAACCCAGAAAGUCUCUCGACGGAAUCGCCGUUUUUCCAGCAGCAAGGGAUUGUUUUCACACGAGUCCCAAUGCCACGGUUCUUCCUCAAAUGCCAAAAUGGAGUAAUGACUCGCGAAAUUUCGUUAAACUUUGUGGUUGGAUGGUCUGAAAACUCCCUAUUUGUUGGUUCUUUCAUUCAUGGUCAUCAGGGUGUGUCCCAUCUUCCAUGUGUUUCCUUCCCACCGCUUGCUUCCUCCACCUAUAGCUCAAAAGCUUCUUCAUCUUCAAGCAGCUGGCGAAAGCUACCAAGAGGUCCUUCCAUACAUCUAUCAUAUUCAUUCUUCUGUUUGAUAGGACAGACCAUGCCCCACUCGUACCAAGUGCAAAAUGGUGCUCGGUUCCAUUUGGACACUCAGAAGAUGUGGAACGGAAUGCGACGGGAUCAUCUUCAGGCAGUCAUUUCAUUGGCAAAUGGCUCAAUCAGAGACUUGCCCAAGUUAGGUCACUUGCAUCUCUUGAAGACUGUACCAUAAACAAUGCGAAUUGGACACGUAUGUGGCCUAGAAAUCUUCGAAACAUGUGGAGACCAGCAGGUCCACUUCAAUCGACAUGCAACGGGAGGUGGGCAAGUGCGCUUUUUUUUUCAA